CCGCGUGAGGGAUGACGGCCUUCGGGUUGUAAACCUCUUUCAGCAGGGAAGAAGCGCAAGUGACGGUACCUGCAGAAGAAGCACCGGCUAACUACGUGCCAGCAGCCGCGGUAAUACGUAGGGUGCGAGCGUUGUCCGGAAUUAUUGGGCGUAAAGAGCUUGUAGGCGGUUUGUCGCGUCUGCUGUGAAAAUCCGGGGCUCAACCCCGGACUUGCAGUGGGUACGGGCAGACUAGAGUGUGGUAGGGGAGACUGGAAUUCCUGGUGUAGCGGUGAAAUGCGCAGAUAUCAGGAGGAACACCGAUGGCGAAGGCAGGUCUCUGGGCCACUACUGACGCUGAGAAGCGAAAGCAUGGGGAGCGAACAGGAUUAG
rnacentral:rRNA from 1 species